rnacentral:rRNA from 1 species
CAGCCGCCACGGUAAUACGAAGGGUGCAAGCGUUAAUCGUAAUUACUGGGCGUAAAGCGUGCGUAGGCGGUUUGUUAAGUCUGCUGCGAAAUCCCCGGGCUCAACCUGGGAAUGGCAGUGGAUACUGGCAAGCUAGAGUGUGUCAGAGGAUGGUGGAAUUUCCGGUGUAGCAGUGAAAUGCGUAGAGAUCGGAAGGAACAUCUGUGGCGAAGGCGACUAUCUGGGCCAACACUGACACUGAGGCACGAAAGCGUGGGGAGCAAACAGGAUUAGAUACCCGCGUAGUCCCUGUCUCUUAUAC